rfam:HIV-1 isolate 01CM.0001BBY from Cameroon gag protein (gag) and pol protein (pol) genes, partial cds; vif protein (vif), vpr protein (vpr), tat protein (tat), rev protein (rev), vpu protein (vpu), and envelope glycoprotein (env) genes, compl
GACCAGGGGGAAAGAAACAAUAUAGAAUGAAACAUUUAGUAUGGGCAAGCAGAGAGUUAGACAGAUUCGCACUUGACCCUGGCC